GAUGAACGCUGGCGGCGUGCCUAAUACAUGCAAGUCGAGCGAACGGACGAGAAGCUUGCUUCUCUGAUGUUAGCGGCGGACGGGUGAGUAACACGUGGAUAACCUACCUAUAGACUGGGAUAACUUCGGGAAACCGUAGCUAAUACCGGAUAAUAUUUUGAACCGCAUGGUUCAAAAGUGAAAGACGGUCUUGCUGUCACUUAUAGAUGGAUCUGCGCUGCAUUAGCUAGUUGGUAAGGUAACGGCUUACCAAGGCAACGAUGCAUAGCCGACCUGAGAGGGUGAUCGGCCACACUGGAACUGAGACACGGUCCAGACUCCUACGGGAGGCAGCAGUAGGGAAUCUUCCGCAAUGGGCGAAAGCCUGACGGAGCAACGCCGCGUGAGUGAUGAAGGUCUUCGGAUCGUAAAACUCUGUUAUUAGGGAAGAACAUAUGUGUAAGUAACUGUGCACAUCUUGACGGUACCUAAUCAGAAAGCCACGGCUAACUACGUG
rnacentral:rRNA from 1 species